AGCAGCCGCGGUAAUUCCAGCUCCAAUAGCGUAUAUUAAAGUUGUUGCAGUUAAAAAGCUCGUAGUUGAACUUCGGGAUCAAUGGAUCGGUCAUGCCAUCGGUAUGUACUGGUCUCAUUGGUUCUCACCUUCUAAGGAACCAUAAUGUCAUUCAUUUGAUGUUUUGGGGAAUUAGGACUGUUACCUUGAAAAAAUUAGAGUGUUUAAAGCAGGCUAACGCUUGAAUACAUUAGCAUGGAAUAAUGAAAUAGGACAUCGCAUUCUAUUUUGUUGGUUUCUAGGAUCGAUGUAAUGAUUAAUAGGGAUAGUUGGGGGCAUUAGUAUUCAAUUGUCAGAGGUGAAAUUCUUGGAUUUAUUGAAGACUAACUACUGCGAAAGCAUUUGCCAAGGAUGUUUUCAUUAAUCAAGAACGAAAGUUAGGGGAUCGAAGACGAUCAGAUACCGUCGUAGUCUUAACCAUAAACUAUGCCGACUAGGGAUCGGAUGAUGUUGAUUUUUUAAUGACUCAUUCGGCACCUUACG
rnacentral:rRNA from 1 species